AUUUAUUUUUUUAUUUACACAGGACUGGGAGAGCUUUGAUCACAAGACACAGACUAAGCUGGCCUCCAUGCUGAGAUUCGUCCUGGUCAAUGAAGAUGACCUGUCCCUUGAUGACGAACUCAUCCACUUCCUGCAGGAGAAAGGUGAUAACUGGGGCUGGUGUACUGAGAUGAGGAAAAUAAUUCUUCUAUAUCUGGUGGCCUCUGUUCCACACUAUGCUGGACCUACUUGGCUAAUAAAAUCUGUCACAUUGUAAAGGGUUCUGAUGUUGGAACAUAUAGACCAGUGGUCCUCAACCUUUGUGAGACCAGCGUCUGGUAAA